ACCUGGCUGGCUCAGUUGGUAGAGCAUACAACUCUUGAUCUUAGAGUCAUGAGUUCAAGCCCCAUGCUGGCUU
rnacentral:tRNA from 1 species